GACGAACGCUGGCGGCGUGCUUAACACAUGCAAGUCGAACGGAAAGGCCCUGCUCUUGUGGGGCGCUCGAGUGGCGAACGGGUGAGUAACACGUGAGUAACCUGCCCUUGACUUUGGGAUAACUUCAGGAAACUGGGGCUAAUACCGGAUAGGAGCUCCUGCUGCAUGGGGGGGGUUGGAAAGUUUCGGCGGUUGGGGCUGGACUCGCGGCUUACCAGCUUGUUGGUGGGGUAGUGGCUUACCAAGGCUUUGACGGGUAGCCGGCCUGAGAGGGUGACCGGCCACAUUGGGACAGGGAUACGGCCCAGACGCCUACGGGGGGCAGCAGUGGGGAAUAUUGCACACAGGGCGGAAGCCGGAUGCAGCAACGCCGCGUGCGGGAUGACGGCCUUCGGGUUGUAAACCGCUUUCGCCUGUGACGAAGCGUGAGUGACGGUAAUGGGGAAAGAAGCACCGGCUAACUACGU
rnacentral:rRNA from 1 species